UUUCCGUAGGUGAACCUGCGGAAGGAUCAUUAUUGAAUAAACCUGGCUUGGUUGAUGCUGGUCUUUUCGGAGACAUGUGCACACCUUGUCAUCUUUAUAUCUCCACCUGUGCACCUUUUGUAGACCUGGAUUCAACUUUCCUAGGAAACUCGGUUGUGAGGAAUUGCUUAAUAGGCUUUCCUUGUUAGUUUCCAGGGCUAUGUUUUCAUAUACACCUUAAGAAUGUAACAGAAUGUCAUUAUUAGGCUUAAUUGCCUUAUAAACUAUAUACAACUUUCAGCAACGGAUCUCUUGGCUCUC
rnacentral:misc_RNA from 1 species